rnacentral:lncRNA from 1 species
UGACAAUGGAUUUUUUUUCGACGUGUUGUGUCUGUUUGCUUAAUUUGUUUAUUAAUGACUUGACAAAUACUUCAAAAGAAAUUUUCACAUUCCAAAGCAUUAUAAUUAUCAAUUUGUUUAAACUAGAAUUGGUAUUUUAGGGACCACGGUUUGUCAAAAUUGCUCCCUUCUUUGGCCCGGAGAUUAAUCUGUCAAUAUCUCGUCGGUUUGUCUGUUCCCCCGAGUGUUCCGGUGGUUCUCUCUAAGUUCAUCUACUUCCUCCACCAUAAUAACAGACUUUUCUGUCAUAGCACUCCUUUUGUGUUGGGACGGGUAUUGUUAUAAAUACGUUAGUGACGCAUCUCCAGUUAUCCCGAAAGAGAGUCUUCACGGAUCCAAGUGUACCUUCGUAGCUCUCUAAGGGUGUUCCGAAUAACGAGAGAACCUACCAGGGUUACCUAAUUUACCUCAAACUACACGAAGUUCUUUCAGAGACCUGAAACUUGUUUUGUACAUAAUCUGUGGAAUUUGCUAAAUUUGACUCUGUCAAAGGGUUCGAAACGUAUACACUUUGAAGUAUCAUACUUUUCCACCAA